rnacentral:rRNA from 1 species
GAUGAACGCUAGCUCCAGGCUUACCACAUGCAAGUAGAGGGACCGGCGCACGGGUGAGUAACACGUAUCAAACCUGCCCUUUACACGGGGAUAGCCUUUCGAAAGAAAGAUUAAUACCCGAUGUAAAGGCUGGGGCUGCGUUCCAUUAGGUUGUUGGUGAGGUAACGGCUCACCAUGCCUUCGACGGAUAGGGGCUCUGAGAGGAAGUUUCCCCACGUUGGAACUGGGGCACGGUCCAAACUCCUACGGGCGGCAGCAGUGGGGAGUGGUUGUCAAUGGGCGUUAGCCUGAACCAGCCAAGUAUCGUGAUGGAUGAAGGCUUAUUGGUCGUAAACUUCUUUUAUAUAAGAAUAUGUAUUAGAUGGAUAGAGAGCGGCUAACUCCGUGCCAGCAGCCGCGGUAAUUC